rnacentral:rRNA from 1 species
CUCCUCCAACGAGCGCAAUGGGCGGAAGCCUGACGCAGCGACGCCGCGUGGGGGAUGACGGCCUUCGGGUUGUAAACCUCUUUCAGCAGGGACGAAGCUUUUGGGUGACGGUACCUGCAGAAGAAGCACCGGCCAACUACGUGCCAGCAGCCGCGGUAAUACGUAGGGUGCAAGCGUUGUCCGGAAUUAUUGGGCGUAAAGAGCUCGUAGGCGGUUUGUCGCGUCGGCUGUGAAAUCCCGGAGCUCAACUCCGGGCCUGCAGUCGAUACGGGCAGACUCGAGUGUUGCAGGGGAGACUGGAAUUCCUGGUGUAGCGGUGAAAUGCGCAGAUAUCAGGAGGAACACCGGUGGCGAAGGCGGGUCUCUGGGCAACAACUGACGCUGA